GACAAUAAUGUUUAGUAUAUAAAGAAACUAUUACAGACGAACGGCUAUGUGUUAUAUGUACAAGUUAAAGACUCUUCUAAAUUUUAAUAAAAGAUUUAGAACAUUAUAAAUUAAUGACUUUUUAAAGAAAGAUAGAGUUCUUAUAAUAGGAAAAUUCCGAUAGCAUACGAAGUAAAUUGAAAUAUCUUAUUAACUUCAGGAAAAUAAAUCAAAUGAGAUUCUUUUAUUAACUAAAAAUUAAUUAAGAAUAGCCUAAAAAGUAAAAUGAAAAUAAAUUUGUUUGAAUAUAGGGAAACCUUUCUCUAAGGCUAAAUAUAGCACAUAAGCGAUAGAGAAAAAAGUACCGUUAGGGAAUUAACGUUAAAUAGUAGUUUUAUAAGCAGCUCAAGUUUUUACUAACAAUAAAAUAAGAGCGUACCUUUUGCAUAAUGGGUCAGCAAGUUAAUAUUAGAUGCAAGAUUAAACUCCCAGAUAAACCAAUUAUUAAUUAAUGAUUAAGUAUCUAAUAUUAGACCCGAAGCCUGGUGAUCUUACCAUGAUCAGGGUUAUAAAAGCCCGAACAGGUUAUCGUUGUAAAGAUAUCUGAAGAAUUGUGGUAAGUUAGUGAAAGACAAAACUGACCAGGAUAGCUGGUUUUCCGCGAAACCUAUUUAAGUAGGUAGUUUGAAUUAUAUCAUUGCAGGUACAGAAUUGUGAUCUCAGACAAGUUAUGAUACAUUUAUAUGUUAUCAGUUUGUAUACAUUGGGGGAUCGUGAAGAUUUUAUCAGUGAGGAUUUGCUCUCGGAAGGGCAAUGAUAAUUAUUAAACUGUCGGACAUAGUACGAUAAGGUUGUAUGUCUAAAGGGAAACAGCCCAGAACAAAAGUUAAAGGUUCCAAAAUUAUUAUUGAGUGAAAUUAAGGAAGUUUUUUUCAAAUACAAUCAGUAAAUAGGCUUAGAAGCGGCCAUUUUUUGAAGAUCUCGUAACAGAGCACUGGUUUAUAAAAUAAAUGAUUAAGUUAAACGCGCCAAAAAUUUAACGGAUCUAAAUAAUAUACCGAAACUUUGUACGUAGAUAAUUAUUAUAAAUUAAUUUUUAUUACGGGGUAGCGGAACGUUGGGUAUAAAUAUUAGUAUAUAUCAUGGAUAUAACUAUAAUAUCUUUCUGCGUGUGUAAGAUUUAAAUUUAUCCCAAGUGAUAAUGCUGACAUGAGUAACGAAAAAGGGAAAAACUCCCCUCGCCUUAAGCUUAUGGUAUCUAUUGACAAGUAACGGCCCCUAAAUUUAUUAUUCUAACCUAAAGGAUUAAAUGAUGGGAAAAUCUUUAUAUGUUUUUAUAAACUUUUUUAAGAAUAAAAGUUCUGGAAAAUAAUAUAUAUUUUACAACCGUACCUAGAAACUACCUCAAGUAAGCAAGUAGAGUAUACAAAGGCGUUUGAGAUAACAAUCAUUAAGGAACUCGGCAAAAUGACACCGUAACUUUGGGAUAAGGUGUGCCAUUAUUUAUAUUUAUACUACGCUAUACAUAGUUAUGAUCAUUUACCUUUAGCGGGGAAAUGGCUUAUGUCUUUUAUAGAGAUAUGAGUUGGUUCUUUCUUUGGGAUGGACAGUGUAAACACCAAGAAAAUACUAUUUUAGUUGCUAGUUAUUAUAGAUAAGAGGAGACAUAAAAUGGUGUUGUACGACUGUUUAAUUAAAACAAAGCACUUUGCAAAAGACUAAAGUCAAAGUAUUGAGUGUGAUUUCUGCCCGAUGUUGGCUGGUUAACGGAUUUUCUUAACUAAAUAAGGUUAGGUUUUGAAGGAACCCCCAAUCAAUGGCGGCCUUACCGAUGAGGGUCCUAAGGUAGCGGAAUACCCUGGCCGUUAAAUGCGGUCUUGCAUGAAUGAUUUAACGAUACAACAGCUGUCUCAAUGAUUGUCUCAGUGAAAUUGGAAUAACUGUGCAGAUACAGUUUUCUUCUAGUUAGACGAGAAGACCCUAUGCAGCUUUACUGUUACUAGUUAUUGGGUAUAAUCGGGCAAGUUGUAGAAUAUAAGGUAAUCGAUUAGAUAAUAGUGAAAUACCUUUGCUUAGCCUAUUAUACAUGAAGAAUAUUAGUAGAGCAGAAAUACAAAAUACAUACACAAAUAUGAAAUAGGGGUUAAUUUUUUUUUUUAAUAAGGGCCAUAUUUUAACAAAGGACCAUUAAAGAUUUUUACUUUCUAGAAAUAGGAUUGUUUUUGUCUUGGGUUAUUAUCCCCUAUAAUUUUCUGGGCUUACUUAUUAUAGGUCUACAUAGCUCAUCCAAUAAGACAGAGGAAUAUAAAUUUAUUCAGGAAACAUUUGCUAGUGGACAGUUUAUGCGGGGCACAGAUCCCAUAAAAAGUACCUGGGUGUAUCCAAAGUUAAUAUCGUAAAUUCAUUAAUUUAUAUUAAUGAUUAAAUACUUGAUAUAAAUAUAUAAUAAUUUAUGUUUAGUAUUUUAUAUUUUACUUUGUAAUAAAUAAUAUGUUAUUUAUUCAUUUAUCAUUCUAUUAAGUUAGAUCAAUUAUUUUUU
rnacentral:rRNA from 1 species